rnacentral:rRNA from 1 species
AGUGAACGCUGGCGGUAGGCCUAGCACAUGCAAGUCGAACGGCAGCACAGUAAGAGCUUGCUCUUACGGGUGGCGAGUGGCGGACGGGUGAGGAAUACAUCGGAAUCUACUUUUUCGUGGGGGAUAACGUAGGGAAACUUACGCUAAUACCGCAUACGACCUACGGGUGAAAGCAGGGGAUCUUCGGACCUUGCGCGAUUGAAUGAGCCGAUGUCGGAUUAGCUAGUUGGCGGGGUAAAGGCCCACCAAGGCGACGAUCCGUAGCUGGUCUGAGAGGAUGAUCAGCCACACUGGAACUGAGACACGGUCCAGACUCCUACGGGAGGCAGCAGUGGGGAAUAUUGGACAAUGGGCGCAAGCCUGAUCCAGCGAUACCGCGUGGGUGAAGAAGGCCUUCGGGUUGUAAAGCCCUUUUGUUGGGAAAGAAAAGCAGCAGGUUAAUACCCCGCUGUUCUGACGGUACCCAAAGAAUAAGCACCGGCUAACUUCGU